UGGCGGCAGGCUUAACACAUGCAAGUCGAGCGCCCCGCAAGGGGAGUGGCAGACGGGUGAGUAACGCGUGGGAACAUACCCCUCGGUUCGGAAUAGCUCAGGGAAACUUGAAUUAAUACCGAAUACGGUCGAGAGGCGAAAGAUUUAUCGCCGAGGGAUUGGCCCGCGUCCGAUUAGCUAGUUGGUGAGGUAAUGGCCCACCAAGGCGACGAUCGGUAGCUGGUCUGAGAGGAUGAUCAGCCACAUUGGGACUGAGACACGGCCCAAACUCCUACGGGAGGCAGCAGUGGGGAAUAUUGGACAAUGGGCGCAAGCCUGAUCCAGCCAUGCCGCGUGAGUGAUGACGGCCUUAGGGUUGUAAAGCUCUUUCGUCAGGGACGAUAAUGACGGUACCUGAAGAAGAAGCCCCGGCUAACUUCGUGCCAGCAGCCGCGGUAAUACGAAGGGGGCUAGCGUUGUUCGGAAUUACUGGGCGUAAAGCGCGUGUAGGCGGGUCUUUAAGUCAGGGGUGAAAUGCCAGGGCUCAACCUUGGAACUGCCUUUGAUACUGGAGAUCUUGAGUCCGGGA
rnacentral:rRNA from 1 species